CAGAGUUUUAAACUCCCAACCCUAUGUGAAUCUACCUUUUGUUGCCUCGGCGGGAGCUACCCGGAACCUACCCUGUAGUGCCCGCCGGCGGACAUUUUAAACUCUGUUAAACUUUGACAUCUGAGCGUCUUAUUUUAAUAAGUUA
rnacentral:misc_RNA from 1 species